UUUAUUUUUUCCAUGCCCUCUCCAAAUUAGCUGUUCCAAGAAUAUUUUUCUCAAUUUGUUAGUGGUAUCUCUUUGAGGUGCAAUCUGUCUUUGGCAAUUAUGUGAGUUCAAAAGAUAUAGAAGGUAGUUUGUAAACUAGUGUAUGUACAUAGAUGGACCAUGGCAAGAUGGCACUCACACUUAACCACAGAAUGUGCUUACAAUCUCCAGGAUCAACAUGUAGGAUCCAUUUCCCCCGAUCCACAUGUAAGAUCCAGUCUCCUAUUUACAUGAAAGAUCCCGCCGCUUCUCCUGGGAUCUAAGCCCACCACUAAGUGAGGUUGAUCCUUUAUAUGCGAAGAAGCAUGAACCCUUAAAAAGGUGUUGUGCUUGCUUCCAAACUUUUUCUUCUUAUUAUUAUUUCAUAUUUUUAAAACCAAGAAACGCUUUGGACACUUUGGGAACACUUACGAAUCAUAAAAUAAACUAAACUGCAUGUUUGAAGGCAAUAACUUGGGAGCCAAUGAUUAAAAUGAAAACAAUGUGGAUUUAUACCUAUUAAACCUUCAUCCUUUAGGCUUUUUAAUUUAGGAGCUCUAAAGACUAAAAAGUCUAAUUUGUUUGUGAGUAGAGUUUUUUAAACAAAGAUAUUAAGACUUUUUAUUCUCAUUUCCUUUCCGAUACAUAGAAUAGAAUGUGGAAAAUGAUUUCUUACUAUUUGAUAUCUUGUCAUGUUUAUGUCCGUUGUCUGUAUCACUACUUCUUAGUUCUUGGUAAUAAUUGAGCUUCCAUGCGGCUAUCACAAGUACAAGAGUAUAUAAGGUAAAUAGGUUAUAGUUUUCCAGAAAAUGUGGGAUUGGCGUACCCUCUCAAGAUCGUUCAAUUAUACCUAACAAGCAUUGCACUUUUUUGCACCGACUGACAAGUGUAAUCAAUAAUUCUUAGAGACCAUGAGCACCUUGCUUGAGGAAGCUCUGGUUGUUGUCCAAUUCGAAUGGUGACAAGCCAAACUUGUUGGCAACUGCAAGCAUGAACUUCUUCACCUUAGACUCAAACUUGUCCAGGUCGACACUGCUGCUCUUAUCACAAUCGAUUGUCUUGAAGAUGGAGUUGUAAGUCUUAUCAGCUCCUCUGACAGUGUGAUGUAGGAUAUAGGUUGCUCAAUUUUUAAAUAGAGGCUAGUUAAAGGCCCAAGCAAUGAGUAAUUUAGGGAUUAAUGGUUAAAUUGAAGACGAAUAGGUAGGAGAGGGGAUUAGGGUUGAUUUGUAGGUAAUUAGAUAGGUUUUUGGGGCUGAAAAGUGUACUUUUAGUGGGCAACCCGAGACUAGUAUCUUGGGUAUGUACGCAAAGAAGAAGAAAUAGAAGAAGUAGAGGAAGAGGUGCUUCACCCUCGUAAGGGUUAGGCCAAUCACACACAAACAUAAUCUCAAAUUCUCAUAGUAUUAACUCUUUUCUUGAAUCAUUGAGAUUACACAUAUUUAUAGGCUAAAGACUUUACUAUUUUGAAAAUAUUUGCAUAUAAACUUAUGAGUAAUUCUACAUGAAUUGAAUGGGUGUGUUUGGUUUGUGUUUUGAGAUAAA